AAAUAAUAUCUAGUGUAAAUUUCAAAUACCCCUUAUAGUUUCAUAUUUUUUCACUUUAGUAUCUUAUGGUUUAAAGUAUACCAAAUGAACCUCUGUGGUUUCGUACUUUCUCACUUUAGUAUCCUGUGAUUUAAAAGUGUAUCAAGUUACUAUCCUGUGGUUUCAUUUUUCUCUUUUUAUUAUCCAUUUCACUAAUUUUUUUCGUUAAAUCAGUGACAAAGUUAAAAUUAAAAGGUACUAAAGUGAACAUUCGAUAAACUUAGGUAGGGUAUUUGAAGUUUUUUGUAUAUAAUUUAACGAAAUAUUAACGGAGAAAAAAAUAAAUCAGUGACAAAGUUAAAACUAAAAGGUAUUAAAGUAAAUAUUCGAUAAACCUGGGUAGGGUAUAUGAAGUUUUCUGUAUAUAAUUUAACGAAAUAUUAAUAGAAGAGCCGACGAAAAGAAAAAAAAAAUGAAACCACAUGGUACUAAAUGUAUGCACCUUAAACCACACUGAACUAAAGUGAGAAAGGGCGAAACCACGGGGGCUAAAUUGAUACACUUUAAACUGCAGGGUACUAAAGUAAGAAAGUGUGAAACCACAAGGGAAUAUUUGAAGUUUA
rnacentral:lncRNA from 1 species